rnacentral:rRNA from 1 species
CCAGCAUCGGUUUCUGCAGAGGGAUAAAAGCUNGAGGAAUGCGCCUCCUCCGGGAGUGUCAUAGCCUCUUGCAUACUACCUCUGCGGGGACCGAGGACCGCGCUUUUGCAAGGAUGCUGGCGUAAUGGUCGUCAACGACCCGUCUUGAAACACGGACCAAGGAGUCGAACAUUUAUGCGAGUGUUUGGGUGUUAAACCCUCACGCGUAAUGAAAGUGAACGGAGGUGAGAGCCCUUACGGGUGCAUCAUCGACCGAUCCUGAUGUCUUCGGAUGGAUUUGAGUAAGAGCAUAACUGUUCGGACCCGAAAGAUGGUGAACUAUGCGUGGAUAGGGUGAAGCCAGAGGAAACUCUGGUGGAGGCUCGCAGCGGUUCUGACGUGCAAAUCGAUCGUCAAAUCUGCGCAUGGGGGCGAAAGACUUAUCGAACCAUCUAGUAGCUGGUUACCGCCGAAGUUUCCCUCAGGAUAGCAGUGUUGUUCUUCAGUUUUAUGAGGUAAAGCGAAUGAUUAGGGACUCGGGGGCGCUUUUUAGCCUUCAUCCAUUCUCAAACUUUAAAUAUGUAAGAAGCCCUUGUUACUUAAUUGAACGUGGGCAUUCGAAUGUACCAACACUAGUGGGCCAUUUUUGGUAAGCAGAACUGGCGAUGCGGGAUGAACCGAACGCGGGGUUAAGGUGCCGGAGUGGACGCUCAUCAGACACCACAAAAGGUGUUAGCACAUUUAGACAAUAGGACGGUGGCCAUGGAAGUCGGAAUCCGCUAAGGACUGUGUAACAACUCACCUAUCGAAUGUGCUAGCCCUGAAAAUGGAUGGCGCUCAAGCGUCCCACCCAUACCUCGCCCUCAGGGUAGAAACGAUGCCCUGAGGAGUAGGCGGCCGUGGAGGUCAGUGACGAAG